GAUGAACGCUGGCGGCGUGCUUAACACAUGCAAGUCGAACGGUGAAGCGCCUUCCUUUUUGGUGGGUGUGGAUGAGUGGCGAACGGGUGAGUAACACGUGAGUAACCUGCCCCCUUCUUCUGGAUAACCGCAUGAAAGUGUGGCUAAUACGGGAUAUUCUGGGUCUGUCGCAUGAUGGGUCUGGGAAAGAUAUUGUUUCGGUGGGGGAUGGGCUCGCGGCCUAUCAGCUUGUUGGUGGGGUGAUGGCCUACCAAGGCGGUGACGGGUAGCCGGCCUGAGAGGGUGGACGGUCACACUGGGACUGAGACACGGCCCAGACUCCGACGGGAGGCAGCAGUGGGGAAUAUUGCACAAUGGGCGCAAGCCUGAUGCAGCGACGCCGCGUGAGGGAUGGAGGCCUUCGGGUUGUGAACCUCUUUCGCCAGUGAAGCAGGCCUGCCUCGUUUGUGGGUGGGUUGACGGUAGCUGGAUAAGAAGCGCCGGCUAACUACGUG
rnacentral:rRNA from 1 species